UACGAAGGGGGCUAGCGUUGUUCGGAAUUACUGGGCGUAAAGCGCACGUAGGCGGGUUGUUAAGUCAGGGGUGAAAUCCUGGAGCUCAACUCCAGAACUGCCUUUGAUACUGAGGAUCUUGAGUACGGGAGAGGUGAGUGGAACUGCGAGUGUAGAGGUGAAAUUCGUAGAUAUUCGCAAGAACACCAGUGGCGAAGGCGGCUCACUGGCCCGUUACUGACGCUGAGGCACGAAAGCGUGGGGAGCAAACAGG
rnacentral:rRNA from 1 species